rnacentral:lncRNA from 1 species
GAAAAUCUUUUUGAAAGUCGGAGUCAACACCUUUUUGUGUAGGUACGGUCGCAAGUGGCUUCCCUCGUUAUCAUCCGCCUCCCACAGGCGGGCAGGGGAAGAGGGUCGCAGAAGAAGAUGGAAUGGAGGACUGUGAAGCUGGCCGUGUUCUUCUUAUUUCUCGGGAGUGUUUCGACGCUUCGAUUUCGACUACUGCUUGCGAUGGCUCUUGGGCGUGAUCGCCAUCGCUGCUUCCCUAAAGAGGCGGAGGACUACCACGG